CUAAAACUAAACUAAAGAUUCUUUCAGCAGAUGCGUACUGUCUAGUGGGAUUUAUUUUCAAGAGCUCAAGUCACUCGCACAUGCGCUGUUGUAUGUGCACCGUCCUCGUGGACACACAAACUGGGCUGCACGCGGACCCUCCUGAGGACAAAAAUUUCAUCGCACAGACCGUAGCGAAAUGCGGAUGUUGCUUUAGCACUCAGGAUUGUCCAUCUCUGUAAUUCGAUGAGAGCAGCCAUUUAAAGCAGCCUGGGCUUCUUAUGCAGCCUUUGCAGGAGCACCACAGGGACUAACAGUAUCGAUCCAGAGCCAUAAGUAGGCCAUCUCAGUCAAGAAGGCACAUUCUCUCGCCCCGAGUCGACUGAGGCACAGUACAUCCUGUUUAGAGCAUCAAGCAUCAGUCUGCUCCCACCGGCAAUUCCACGUUCCGCUUCAGGAAACCCUGCAGUGAAAAGGUCAAUGGGUUUACAGCAUUUUUCUCCCUUUUUUUACAUUCUUACAGAAGACAAGGCAUAAAUUAGUCCUGUUUGUCUAACGGAUCAAAGACAUGAUCAUCUUUGCAACUCAACCUCCAGACCUCAGCGCAGCACACAAAUGCUAAUCAUAAAUACACCGACAUUAAAGAUCCAAGGACUCGGCUGACCCCAGUACGACAGUCAGUGGUGAAAUGGUGUGUGGGUGUCCGACACAGUAAUGGGUCAAUCACUCAGAGAAUAAGACUUUUUCUUCUGACUGAGCACGAAGGAGCCCUGUUCUCACCUAAUGUUGUGAAGCUGACAGGCAGAGAUAGAGCAUGAAUCAUGUUCAGCCUACUCUCAGACAGCAGUGAUAAUAUCGGCGUGCUGAUGCAAAGUGACCGGCGAGCACAUAGCACUUUCACACCAUCAGUCAUGUUCCCGUAGCAACGUGAUAACGCAGGAAUAACAUCAAACAAACAAUGUUGGAACUGUGUGUUGGUGUAGGAGGGCAGGGGCUAAAAAAGUCCUCAUGGGAGAGCUGUUGAUUAUGCAUAGAAAUGUGUGGGAAAUUAGUCAAGUCGUGUAAUGACUAUGUAUUUCUUAAUGUAUUUAAAAUAUGUCAAUGUUUGAGUUUCCAGUGACCACUUGUGAUGUACCAAAUUAAUACCAUGGUUGUUUGGGCAUGCUAGAAUGUUAGAAAAGAUUUCUAUUUUAAAUAAACGCUGAUAAUCCUGAAUAAAAAUCACAGUUUCCACAAAAAUAUUAAGCAGCAUAACUGUGUUCUACAUUGAUAAUAAUAAGAAAUGUUUCUUGAGCACCAAGUUAGCAUAUUAGACUGAUUUCUGAAGGAUCAUGUGCAGGGGUGUACAUAGGUGGUACGCAUGUGCGCAUGCGCGGUAAAAACGAUGCGCACCAGAAAAAAUGGAGGGAAGCGCAUUUGAGUACCAACAUUUUUGGGGGACACAGGGACACAUUUACUUACUGGAGUAGGCUGUUUCUCCAUAUCUGCCUCCCCUGGUAGUCGCACCCCUAGACCAAACAGUAGUCCCUGUUAUCUGGGGCCCCUGUGUUGCCUGGUACUGCAGGACCUUGGAGGUCCUCCACCCUCUCUGAACAGAGCAGAUCCCCAGUGUAGAGGCUUCAUUGGCUGGCUUAUCUCCUUGCCUUUUGGUCCCAAAAGGCCCUUACCCCAUUCUUCUGUGUCUAAUCUACAGCCACCGCUCCUGCUGGUUCAGCAGCAUUGGCACACUGGAAAUGAAGCAUGCAAAGAACAUUCCCAGAACUGUUAUUUACAAACAUUUCAGAUACAGUCUCAGAGUCUGUUUAUUGCUUAGUAUAUAAUCUGUACUAUAUAAAACAAAGCACAAAUCACUUGAAUGAAAUAUAACUUAUAGUCAUAACUAAUAGCAGCAGAAUGUAGUGCCUUCUCAUCACCGGAUUUAUGUUUGAUAUGAAAGAAUGAGUGAGAGGUCUGGACAUCCUUAGAGAGUAGAUGAGGAAAUGACCUCAUGCAGCCUGUGCAGAGGCGCUCCCUAAUCAGUGGCUCAUUUCUGCUCUCUGCCCUCAGGCAGCUCCUCUUUAAAGUGUACUUCAGUUCAGAUACUGGAUAUUCAACUUAUCUGUUCAUGUUUUAAGGGGCCAAGAGGGCCAUGAAGGGUCACCAAAGGUGCGUAGCCGCUAUUGUUUUUGUGAGCGAAAUGCUACCUCUGCUAUGGGAGUCUGUGCCAACCUGUUUGGAGGAAAGUUGUGAAAUUUGACACUCUGAUUGAGAGGGGUCUUUCUCAGUCAAACUCUCUAGCCAUCAUCUCAAAAUAGGACAUAUUCUACUGAUUAUAACCUUCAAGCUCUGUGGAUUAGGGGGCGUUUACACGGCACCGUUUUUAACUAAAUAUGGAAAACUUUUCAUGCGUUUUGGGUGUUCAUUUAUAGGACAAUGGCGCUUUGGGACCCUGAAAACACAAACUUUUGAAAACAGGUUUCAAAGUGCAAGUUUUUGAAAAUGUUCUCCAUGUAAACUACAAAAACGUGAUUUUGUGAAAACUGUGAUGCCAUGCGUGCCAUGCAAAUGUGUAUUACGUGUUCGGUCUAUAGGUGCUUAGUGUUUCUUUACAAAGUGACAUCGCCAAAUGGCCUGGCAUGUAUAAUUCAGUGUCUUUAAUCAUUUGGAGGAUGAGAUUUUAAAGUAAAAUCACGAGCUUCCGGCACGACAGCCAUACACCU